rnacentral:rRNA from 1 species
UACGGGGGGGGCAAGCGUUGUUCGGAAUUACUGGGCGUAAAGGGUUCGUAGGUGGCUUGCUAAGUCAGACGUGAAAUCCCUCAGCUUAACUGGGGAACUGCGUCUGAGACUGGCAAGCUUGAGUGCAGGAGAGGAAUGCGGAAUUCCAGGUGUAGCGGUGAAAUGCGCAGAUAUCAGGAAGAACACCCGUGGCUAAGGCGGUUCUCUAGUACGGUACUGACGCUGAGACGCGAAAGCGUGGGGAGCGAACAGG